rnacentral:rRNA from 1 species
UACGUAGGGGGCAAGCGUUGUCCGGAAUCAUUGGGCGUAAAGCGCGUGUAGGCGGGUCGGUAAGUCCGCUCUGAAAGCCCGGGGCUCAACCCCGGGAGGCGGGUGGAUACUGUCGACCUCGAGUCCGGAAGAGGCGAGUGGAAUUCCUGGUGUAGCGGUGAAAUGCGUAGAUAUUGGGAGGAACACCAGUGGCGAAGGCGGCUCACUGGACCGGAACUGACGCUGAGGCGCGAAAGCGUGGGGAGCAAACAGG